ACAAACUUGGUCAUUUAGAGGAAGUAAAAGUCGUAACAAGGUCUCCGUAGGUGAACCUGCGGAGGGAUCAUUAUUGAAUGGCCCCAUAUGGGGCCGUCGACCCCUCGAAACUGUGGAGGCAGAGAGUGCUUUGGCGCCUUGUGGUCGCCUCUAUGAAGCAGUAAGCCCGCGUCUGAGUAAGAAUUUGAAGUCAAAACUUUCAACAACGGAUCUCUUGGCUCUUUUAGAGGAAGUAAAAGUCGUAACAAGGUCUCCGUAGGUGAACCUGCGGAGGGAUCAUUAUUGAAUGGCCCCAUAUGGGGCCGUCGACCCCUCGAAACUGUGGAGGCAGAGAGUGCUUUGGCGCCUUGUGGUCGCCUCUAUGAAGCAGUAAGCCCGCGUCUGAGUAAGAAUUUGAAGUCAAAACUUUCAACAACGGAUCUCUUGGCUCUUGCAUCGAUGAAGAACGCAGC
rnacentral:misc_RNA from 1 species